rnacentral:rRNA from 1 species
AAUUCGAUUGAGUUUGAUCAUGGCUCAGGAUGAACGCUGGCGGUAUGCUUAACACAUGCAAGUCGAACGGUGUCUUCGGACACAGUGGCGGACGGGUGAGUAACGCGUGAGAAUCUGCCUUCAGGUCUGGGACAACCACUGGAAACGGUGGCUAAUACCGGAUGUGCCGAGAGGUGAAAGGUUAACUGCCUGAAGAUGAGCUCGCGUCUGAUUAGCUAGUUGGUAGAGUAAGAGCCUACCAAGGCGACGAUCAGUAGCUGGUCUGAGAGGAUGAUCAGCCACACUGGGACUGAGACACGGCCCAGACUCCUACGGGAGGCAGCAGUAGGGAAUUUUCCGCAAUGGGCGAAAGCCUGACGGAGCAAUACCGCGUGAGGGAGGAAGGCUCUUGGGUCGUAAACCUCUUUUCUCAGGGAAGAACACAAUGACGGUACCUGAGGAAUAAGCAUCGGCUAACUCCGUGCCAGCAGCCGCGGUAAUACGGAGGAUGCAAGCGUUAUCCGGAAUGAUUGGGCGUAAAGCGUCCGCAGGUGGCUAUGUAAGUCUGCUGUUAAAGCGUCUAGCUCAACUAGAUAAAAGCAGUGGAAACUACAAGGCUAGAGUGCGUUCGGGGCAGAGGGAAUUCCUGGUGUAGCGGUGAAAUGCGUAGAGAUCAGGAAGAACACCGGUGGCGAA